GAUUGAUGUGCUGUCUUAAUUAUGGCUGUGUGUCCCUGCCUGAAUCGGUCUCUAGAUGUCUCACUACUGGUGUGGGAUAUUGCAUUUAGCGAUCCGCCUGAGGUCGGUGUACUUGUUCUAGAGAGUAGAGUGUUGUGUUGUGUGUGUUGUGUGUUGUGUACUUGUUCUAGAGAGUGUUGUGUUGUGUGUUGUGUACUUGUUCUAGAGAGUGUUGUGUUGUGUGUUGUGUGUUGUGUUGUGUUGUGUGUUGUGUGUUGUGUACUUGUUCUAGAGAGUGUUGUGUUGUGUGUUGUGUGUUGUGUGUUGUGUACUUGUUCUAGAGAGUGUUGUGUUGUGUGUUGUGUGUUGUGUACUUGUUCUAGAGAGUGUUAUGUUGUGUGUUGUGUGUUGUGUGUUGUGUGUUGUGUACUUGUUGUAGAGAGUGUUAUGUUGUGUGUUGUGUGUUGUGUGUUGUGUACUUGUUGUAGAGAGUGUUAUGUUGUGUGUUGUGUGUUGUGUACUUGUGUACUUGUUGUAGAGAGUGUUGUGUUGUGUGUUGUGUGUUAUGUUGUGUGUUGUGUGUUGUGUGUUGUGUGUUGUGUACUUGUGCUAGAGAGUGUUAUGUUGUGUGUUGUGUGUUGUGUGUUGUGUGUUGUGUACUUGUUCUAGAGAGUGUUGUGUGUUGUGUUAUGUUGUGUGUUGUGUGUUGUAUGUUGUGUGUUGUAUGUUGUGUGUUGUGUGUUGUUCUAGAGUGUUAUGUUGUGUGUUGUGUGUUGUGUUGUGUGUUGUGUGUUGUGUGUCAUGUUGUGUGUUGUGUGUUGUGUGUUGUGUGUUGUGUACUUGUUCUAGAGAGUGUUAUGUUGUGUGUUGUGUGUUGUGUACUUGUUCAAGAGAGUGUUGUGUUGUGUGUUGUGUGUUGUGUACUUGUUUUUGAGAGUGUUAUGUUGUGUGUUGUGUGUUGUGUUGUGUGUUGUGUACUUGUUCUAGAGAGUGUUAUGUUGUGUGUUGUGUGUUGUGUGUUGUGUACUUGUUCCAGAGAGUGUUAUGUUGUGUGUUGUGUGUUGUGUACUUGUUCAAGAGAGUGUUAUGUUGUUGUGUUGUGUGUUGUGUGUUGUGUGUUGUGUACUUGUUCUAGAGAGUGUUGUGUUGUGUGUUGUGUACUUGUUCAAGAGAGUGUUGUGUUGUGUGUUGUGUGUUGUGUGUUGUGUACUUGUUUUUGAGAGUGUUAUGUUGUGUGUUGUGUGUUGUGUGUUGUGUUGUGUGUUGUGUGUUGUGUACUUGUUGUAGAGAGUGUUGUGUUGUGUGUUGUGUGUUGUGUACUUGUUGUAGAGAGUGUUGUGUUGUGUGUUGUGUACUUGUUCUGGAGAGUGUUAUGCUACCUGGUUGGAGUUCAUAUUGUCUUAUCUGCACGUGUGUGUGUGUGCACGUCAGUUCUGUGUCUGUGUGUCCCACUGGCAUGCAUGAGAGAGCACCAAGAACAUAGAUCCACUGUAGGCCUAUAUUAGCAUGUGUGUUAUUGCAGACAGCCCCACUGUAUAUUAGCAUGCGUGUUAUUGCAGUCAUAGUCAUAGCCCCACUGUAGGCCUACAAUUUUCAUGUUUUACACCUAUACAGGG
ensembl:lncRNA